GACACAGCGAGAGAGGGAACACAAGCAGGGGGAGCGGAAGAAGGACAAGCAGGCUUCCUGCUGAGCAGGGAGCCCGAUGCAGGACUCAUCCCAGGACCCUGGGAUCAAGACCUGAGCCCAAGGCAGCCGCUUAACGACUGAGCCACCCAGGCGCCCCUCAUAUAGUACGAAAAAGCUUUCUCACCCAAGUAUCUAUGGAACUGGUCUCCCGCCAAGCCAACAAAAGAGAGAAUUUCUUCCCAUGAAGGCUACACUCAGAUUAUCGCCAAUGAUCGUGGUCAUCUGUUGCCUUCGGUGCCCCGUUCCAAGGUGAGAUACUGAUCCCCACUCCUACUGAGGAAGGUAAAGAACUGGGGCACAGAACCGGAGUAACCGAGAUGGGAGGUUUGCAAUCUAGCACGGCCACUAUCUGGAAAUUAAAGUUCAAUCUGAUUCCCACUGCAACAUGACUGCCCCCAAACUUCCAGCCAGUUUAUCCAACACGAUAGAGCUGUGCUUAGCACCCGGAAUGCCUUAAACUGAUGAAUGAACGCCUUCACAUGAUGACACUUACGCAGCAAGUCCUUGGGGAUCUUUCAUGGGUACCUGGCAAAUGCCUCUGAAGAUACCCCCUGCUCAGGUGACCCUGACCUCCCGUACAGUUGCUGGUGCUGCCUCCCUCACCAAAUGGAUACAGAAAAAUCCUGAUUUGCUCAAGGCCUCCAAUGGGCUGCGUCCUGAAAUCUUAGGCAAGGUAUCUAUUCCUCCCACCUAACCUCAAAUCCUAUUAUCUGCAUUUCUUUUGAAUCUCAAAAAUGCCUGUUAUACCACCACUAUCCCAGCAGGGGGAACCUUUAACCAAUUCUGUCUUACCCUAUCUAGUCCCUGUCUUCCGACACCUCAAGAGACGUGCUAAGGACAUAUUAUCCCCCACAGUAUAAAAUGAUCUGAUCUGACCUUUUGUCCAUGGUAUAGGGAGAAAGGGAGUGAGAAUUCUAAGAUGGAUUGGGAAUGAUCUAGGCCUGACCAGAAAUAUGACUGUCUCUUCCAUUCUACCCGGCAGCCUCAUGAUCCAGACAGUCAGAGGAAACUCGGGAAGCUUACCACAAAAACUGUACAACAAGCCUCGAGUCCAACCAUAAUUCCCAGCUCCCCAGCUGUAAAUCUCAAUUCCCCAGACCAACCCCAAAGCUCACACCCCUC